ACCAGUAUCCUUUUUCCCAGACACUGUUGCAAAUGGACGAGCAACCCUAAAUAGAAGCUUCACCUUUUUCCUCCUCGCCUCGCCGUUUCUCCGCAGCGCUGCGCCUUCAAUUCUUCCCGCCAUCGACGGACUACAAAGCCCUUAUCUCUGGCUUUCUUGGCUUCUUUCACGGUAAACAUGGCUUUUUGGUUCAUAGAAAAUAGAUACUAUAUGUUGUUGGUUAGUACCGUGAGAGAAAGAAAAGAAGCUGGCAUUCAUUGUCACGUUUUUCUUUCCCAUUUUUACUUGGUAUUUAUUUAAUUUUGGCUUAAUUUAGAUCUAAUAUGUUCAUAGAAAACAGAUACUAUAUGUUGUUGGUUGGUACCAUGAGAGAAAAAAACUAGCAUUCAUUGUCACGUUUUUGUUUCCCAUUUUUACUUGGUAUUUAUUUAAUUUUGGCUUAAUUUAGAUCUAAUACUAUUAUAUAUUUGUUCCUUACUAUUAUUUAGUUUUUGUUAGAAUUAGGUAUUACUAAUCAUUAUGAAUUAGUUAAUAGCCUCUUAAGCGAUAAUUUAAAAGAAAAACCCCAUUGUAGUCUGAUGUGUUAACUACUUUUUAGAAAUGUGUUAAUUUAAUUUAGAAAUAUAGAAAAAUAUAGUUAAGUUACAAGUAGUUAAUUCAAUUUAGAAAUGUGUUAACUACUUUUUAAUGGAGUGAAAAAAAAUGUAGUUAAUUCAAUUUAGAAAUUGAAUUGCUACUAAAAAAAUGGUUUAUAUACUUUAUUUUGAGUUGUUUUACUUUAUUUUUAUAUGGCAAUUUUGAGCUGUUUUACAAUAAUAUGGCAUCUUCUAAAACACCACCAUCACAACCACCAUCACAAGAAGCAUCUUCAGCUCAAAGUUUAGUUCAAAAUAAUGUUAGAGGAAAGACUGAUAUAGCUUGGGCACAUUGUACUAGAAGUCUUAAUGGAAAAUCUCUUGUUUGUAUGUACUGUCACAAAUAUUUUGGUGGAGGUAGAAUUCAUAGGGUAAAGCAACACUUGGCUGGAAUAGUAGGAAAUGUUGAAAUUUGUAAGAAAGUGUCUGCUAAAAUUCGUUUUCAGAUGAAACAACAUUUCAAUGAGCAGAGCAAGAAAAGAAAAGCUUCAGAAUGAAAUUCGUUGGGAUGUACAACUUCGGAAAAAUCUUCAUGCUGCUGGUUAUUGGUUAAAUCCAUCUUGUAGAUUUGGUCCGGAAUAUGAAAAAAACAAGUCCACCACCCAAGGCCUUUUGGAUGUCAUUGAAAAGUAUGCUUAUGAUAGUAAGGACUUGCGAUCUAAAUUAACUGCUGAGAUGACUUCAUUCAAAAAUUGUGAAGGUAGUUUUUGAAGGACAACAACAAUAGAAAACUGAGAUGAAGUUUUUCCAGAUCAAUGGUGGGACACUUAUGGAACCGAAGCGCCGAAUUUGCAAAAGCUGACUAUUCGGAUUUUGAGUCAAACUUGUAGUGCAUCUGGUUGUGAACGAAAUUGGAGUGUGUUUGAACACAUUCAUUCAAAAAAAGAGAAAUAGGUUGGAGCAUCAAAAGCUUAACGAUCUCGUUUAUGUUCGUUACUAUUUACGGCUACAAAAUAGAUUUGUAGAACCAAGAAGAAACAAAAUUAUGAUCCUAUUAAUUUUGAAACACUUGGUGAUCAUUCUAAUUGGGUGUUGGAGGAUUCACCACCAUUCUUGACCAUUGAGGAGGUGGAAGCACUACACAAAGAUCUUGCUAGUAUGACAAUCCAACCUAUUUCAAAUGAUAUUGGUAUGGUAUUAAUUUUUGUGAUUACAAUUAUGUUAUUUUAAUUUCUUAAAAUAUGUCAAUUUCUAAACUCUUUAAAUUGAUGUUGUUAUAUAUGAAUUAAAUUUGGAUGAGGUUGAUAUUGAGGGAGAUGCACCACUUAACUCCGGAGAAAACAACCAAAGUAAUGAUAUCAUUGAUGGGAAAGAUGUUGCAAAUGCGAUUGAUUUUGUCGGAGAUGGUUUUGAUAUUGAAGGAGAUCCCAACAUUGAGAUAAUUUUACCUCCUUGGAACUAAAUUUAAUAGAUAUUUGAGUGUUUUUGUUCUAAAGUACUCAAUUAGUUUAUGUUGAAAUUAGACUUUGUAAUUUGUACUACUUUGUUAUGUGUAAUACUUAUGUUUAAAUUUGAACUAAAUUUGUGAAUUUUAAGUACUGAGCAAACUAUAUUUGUGCUUUUUAAGAGCAUUAAACUAUAUGUAUUAUUAGUAUUUUCAACACCUAAUGCACAACUUGUGAAUUUGUGAUUUUUAAGAGCCUUAUUUAUAGAUUGUGUUGUUAAUGGAUCAGCUUUUAAGUGCUAGUUAUAAUUUUUUUAGAGAUUGAAUGAUCCGGUUCGACCGAUUUUAUAACUAUAUAGUUUUAUUAUAAUGAAAAGUUUAAUCCGGUUUAAUCUGGUUUGGUCAUGCGGUUCGACCAGUGACCCAGUGGUUCGACCGAUGAACCAGUGACCCAAUACCCUCACCGGUUUAAUGACCGGUCCGAUUUUUAAAACAUUGAUCAAAAUGAUAAAAUUGAGAUUUUUUUUAUAUUUUGUAUGAUAUAGAGUAAAAAGGUUUUUUAUCUUUUUCAAUUUACAAGGAUUUUGAAAGUAUAUCUAUUAACCUAAAAUAACGAAAGGACACUUAAAGGGUUUCAAAUUUAAGCGGACAUAUUUCAUUUUCUCUCUCUUCUUAUGUGUCAAUUCUCUUUUUAAGACAUUUUUUUAAAGAAAAUUUCUCAAUCAACCCUAUGGAUUUCUUACACACCA